GAAAACGCUCCAAGACCCUCAAGUCCAACUGUUCCCCAGCACUGUCAAAGCCACCACUAAACCAUAUCCCCAAGUGCCACAUCCACAUGGCCUUAAAA